rnacentral:misc_RNA from 1 species
GAAAUGCGAUAAGUAGUGUGAAUUGCAGAAUUCAGUGAAUCAUCGAAUCUUUGAACGCACAUUGCGCCCCUUGGUAUUCCAUGGGGCAUGCCUGUUCGAGCGUCAUUUGUACCUUCAAGCUUUGCUUGGUGUUGGGUGUUUGUCUCGCCUCUGCGCGCAGACUCGCCUCAAAACAAUUGGCAGCCGGCAUAUUGAUUUCGGAGCGCAGUACAUCUCGCGCUUUGCACUCAUAACGACGACGUCCAAAAAGUACAUUUUUUACACUCUUGACCUCGGAUCAGGUAGGGAUAUCCGCUGAACUUAAGC